rnacentral:lncRNA from 1 species
GGGCGCUGGCUGCUCCCGCUCGCCUCUUGGGGUGCGCUCGGCUCCAGCCCAACUCCGCCAGCUCCGCCGGCUCCAGCACCGCUCCAACCCGAUUCCAGCCGGAUUCCAGCCCGAUUCCAGCCCGGUUCCAGCCCGAUUCCAGCCCGGUUCCAGCCCAGCUCCGUCCCGGCUCCGGUUCUUCUCCGCCACGCCUCUCUGUCGACGCUGAGGAGCAGCUUCGCAGGAAAAUCCCAGAAACCUUUGCAAAAAGCUUACAAUGAAAUUUAAGAAGUUCUACGAUUUCGGCGCCAUUUUCGAGUGGAGUGAGAGUAUUGGAAAAGUUUGGCUGGAAGGUGCGGAGGACCUGUGCAUCAUGUUUUGGGUGUGGGGGCGCAUGGCAUCUGCAACAUUAAAAGACAAAACGUUCUCAACUGGGAAGAGAGGAAGAGGCUUAGUCUUUGGCUCUUAAAUCAUUUGGCCAAACCCUUCGCAGUUCUGAAGUGGGUGGGGCCAUUUUGACCCGUCGUGGUUCUGAAGUGGGUGGGGCCAUGGUAACCCUAAAGUAUUGAUUCUUUGUCUAUUGUAUCAGCGAAUGACCCUCUCUAGAAGUGACCAGACAUCUCUUUGUGCUCUCUUUUCGUGACCAUCGAUGGUUUUUUCCUCCACAAUUCCGUGUCCAUGUAAAAAUGACUUGUAAUAUAGCCAAGAAAAGACGGAAUUUUCAUUCCAACUUAAGGAGUGGGGCUGUUAUUAUUAAUGGCUUUAUUUAUCAUGACCUAAGCAAUGCAUAUGUUAGCACUGGAUCAUUAUCUGUUAUGUUAGGAAUUUUGUAUUUAGUUUAAUUACAUACUCUGUAUAUUUUAUUAAUUAAUUAAAAGGACCCAGCAUUCAUUGUACUAGUUUCGAAAAACGGACAUAAUUUUAAAUGAGAAUACAGGAAAUUUGUAUACAGAAUGUUUUUUGCUUUCAAAGGCACUGUAGUUUUGUUGUUUUAGUUAUUAGGUUUGUGGUUAAGGACUAAAGGAUGGUUUUUGUGCUUUCCUGAAUGCUUUGUUUAAACAAGGAAAUGAAUGUAACUUGUUGCUCAUGUGUGUCCAUUUUGAAAAGCAACAGUGGGAGCUGAGGAGAGCGCACAGUGCCGGCCAUUUCAAGACAAGAUUUUCAGUGGCGUGGCUUAAGAAGGAGUGAUUUGUAUUUAACAUCAAGUAUUUAAGGAUGUCAUUUAUUUAAAGUUCUUGAUUUGUGAUUUGAUGUCGAUGGUAACAAAUGUCUUUAUAAAUAAGCUUGAGUAGCCAGCAAUGUAUGAGAACAUCCAGGAAUGUAUGUUUCAUCUAGAACAUUCUCAUGCUUUGUCCUUAAAAAUAACUAAUGACGAGGUGAUUACUGUAAGAACGGAGGAAACUACUAGACAAGUCUAUUCCAUGCCUAUAGUAUUCAGUAAAACCAACUGGGACUACCCAGAGGGAUUUUUUUUUGAUUAUCAAAAGUUCCUUGCACCAAUUUCCAAUAAAUGAUCAAAACCCGGGGACAAUAAAUGAGACUUAUACAAGGUAGCAGGAAGUUUCACCAAGACUUUGGAGCUGGCAAGAGUGAUCCAGAUGUUACCAAAUUGUCUCAGUUUAUUUAAUCCCACUUUUCAUCUACUUUCUGAGGUACCCCAGAGCGGCCCCCACCCUCGUUGACUCCGAAGGGCUG